ACUCCUACGGGAGGCAGCAGUGGGGAAUAUUGCACAAUGGGCGCAAGCCUGAUGCAGCCAUGCCGCGUGUGUGAAGAAGGCCUUCGGGUUGUAAAGCACUUUCAGUUGUGAGGAAGGUGGUGUCGUUAAUAGCGGCAUCAUUUGACGUUAGCAACAGAAGAAGCACCGGCUAACUCCGUGCCAGCAGCCGCGGUAAUACGGAGGGUGCGAGCGUUAAUCGGAAUUACUGGGCGUAAAGCGCAUGCAGGUGGUUUGUUAAGUCAGAUGUGAAAGCCCGGGGCUCAACCUCGGAACUGCAUUUGAAACUGGCAGACUAGAGUACUGUAGAGGGGGUAGAAUUUCAGGUGUAGCGGUGAAAUGCGUAGAGAUCUGAAGGAAUACCGGUGGCGAAGGCGGCCCCCUGGACAGAUACUGACACUCAGAUGCGAAAGCGUGGGGAGCAAACAGGAUUAGAUACCCUGGU
rnacentral:rRNA from 1 species